AUCGCUUCUUGGCCUUUUGGCUAAGAUCAAGUGU
rnacentral:snRNA from 1 species